rnacentral:rRNA from 1 species
GUGAAUCAUCGAGUCUUUGAACGCACAUUGCGCCCUCUGGUAUUCCGGGGGGCAUGCUUGUUCGAGCGUCGUUACACCACUCAGACUGCUCUCAGUUUGGCGUUGGGCGACGUCCCCCCUCCCCUCCUUACGGAGACGGGGACGCGCCUGGAAAUCAUCGGUGGCCGCGGUCGGAGCCCCAGCGUAGUAACCAAACCUCGCCUGCCGGAGCCGGUCGGAGCCACCUAAAGCCCCCAAUUUUCAACGGUCGACCCUCGGAUCAAGUACGGGAUACCCGCUGAACUUAAGCAGUAUCAAUAAGCGAGG